CUCUCCCUCUAUCUCUUUCUUUGCAACUCUGUUAUUCUAUUUCUCUUUUUUUUCUCUCUUCAUUUUUUGUUUCUCUGUACAUAUAUGUGUUCAUCUUGUAGAUCUGGGUGAAGUUCUUGGAGAUCUGGGUUAAGUUCUUGUAGAUCUGGGUAAAGAGCCCGUUUAAAGCAGGUACUGAAGUAGCAUGGAUAAAAAGAAAGACUGAAGAUGUUGCAGAACAUUGAAUAUGUUCUAUUUCUGUAAUUUGUUUGUAAUUAAAUUUGUUUAUUUUGUUUUGUUUUUAGGUUGUAAGUUUUAUUUUAAUGCUUGAUAUUUGUUGUUUUGUCAAUUAGCAGUGCGUGGAUGUGAAUUGGGCCAAUCGGUAAUAAUUAGGCCCAAAAGGUUUUAAAUAUCAAUUGGGCUGAAACUUAAAAAAAAUUUAAGAACAAAAAAAAAA